GUGGGGAAUAUUGGGCAAUGGACGCAAGUCUGACCCAGCAACGCCGCGUGAAGGAAGAAGGCUUUCGGGUUGUAAACUUCUUUUCUGAGGGACGAACAAAUGACGGUACCUCAGGAAUAAGCCACGGCUAACUACGUGCCAGCAGCCGCGGUAAUACGUAGGUGGCAAGCGUUAUCCGGAUUUAUUGGGUGUAAAGGGCGUGUAGGCGGGAAAGCAAGUCAGAUGUGAAAACUCAGGGCUCAACCCUGAGCCUGCAUUUGAAACUGUUUUUCUUGAGUGCUGGAGAGGCAAUCGGAAUUCCGUGUGUAGCGGUGAAAUGCGUAGAUAUACGGAGGAACACCAGUGGCGAAGGCGGAUUGCUGGACAGUAACUGACGCUGAGGCGCGAAAGCGUGGGGAGCAAACAGGA
rnacentral:rRNA from 1 species